rnacentral:lncRNA from 1 species
UUGUAAGCAUGGCCCACACGCCUCACCCUCCUUCCUAUGGGCUGAUGUAAAAAUGUUUUGAUUGUGUUCUCUUGACCCAGUUUUGGGACCCUGGCUUGAGGCAGGCCUGUUGCCCUUCUCGAGCAGUGGAUUCAAUCCACACCCCUAACUGCUUCCCUCACUGGGCACCCACACUCUGAGGCGCUAUGCACUGGCUCUCAUUGGCCCAGGGGUAACCCCUAGGUCCCAGAGCCUCCAAAAUUAUUCAGAUGAACUGAUCCACGGGAGCCCAUGGGAUCCAGCUAACUGCGUCCCACCGGCCGGACAUUAGCCGCAGGCUGGAACUCCUGCUUGUUGGGACUCUGCCCCUGGGGACAACCCCCCGUGUGGCCCUGCCUGACAACCUUCUCUCAUCUGGAGCUCGGAGUAGCAGAGAAUUCCGCCCUUCAUUGACCUGAGCAUCACUUGUGUUGGGUCUUGCCACCGUCGAGUCUUAUAAAGCAGCUGAAGACCAGAGGCUCCGGAAAGUCACGAGCUGCAGACAGGCUGCACCAGGCUGUUCCUGAUUUCCCGCCAUCGCAGGAUAUCUGCCGUGGACGUGUCUGGAACACUUACCAGUCCACGUGACGGGUGAAACUGUCUGCUGUCGUCACUGGCGUGCUCCGAUGGAUUAAUGAUGCUGCGUGCUUUUCAUGUGUCUGCGGGCCAGCGGGGAACAGUCCCUUCCUGGCUCCUCCUCCACAGACCCCAGUCACAAGCCGCACUCCCCCACACGCCUCGCUAAACCUCCUCCCUGCGGCUCCGUGCUUCUCGAAGUCUUCCGGCUCUUCCCACAGACUCGUUGA